CCAGAUUUGGCUCCGCCGCCCAGCAGGUGGUUUGGCCGCUCUGCAGCCGGACACCCGAUCCUCUUCUGAGGCUCUGUGUUGGCUCUGGCAGGUGUCACAUAAGAACCUCUGACCAGAUGAAGCCGGACUCGUCCUGUCAGACGGCUGAGGCAGGUGUGGAGGUGUUGACCCCGAUGCCCCGCUUUGUGUCCUGCCAGGUUUAAGAACCUGAGGAUGGAGGUGACGUGCACGCAUCACCGGCCCUGUGCAUGCACUGCUGGCUUAACAUGUCUAGCACCUUCGGUGCCACACACUUUAUCUUCAAAUGGCGUUAUUAUUGCUCGCAGUCUCCUAAAAAUAUCCCAGCAACAGCGUGUAAGUCGCCACAUUUCAUUUUCCAUUUUUACCUCUCCCAGAAUUCUCUCCCUUGCUCAGCUUUCUUCUCUUAUUGCCAGAACUGAAUGUCAUGGUUGCAUCAGUUCAGGGAUUUUCCAUCGUCUCCCCACCUGGAAAACCUUUCAUGCUUCUGUGCUGAAACACUGAUGGACUAAACGGUCUCCAGAGAUGAGUCCGACCACGACUCCUUCAUGUCACCUUUCAAAGCGACCUUCUUUUGUCUCGGAAACCCCGUAUUCAAGUUCAUCUUUCCUCCUCUGCAAAUCCCAUCCAUCAGCUGCAGGAUUCAAUCAAAUAACACGUGAGGCAGGUGUGGAUUAUCAGAUUUGCACGUUUGAGUGCCAAAAAUAAGAGACCGCUCUGUUCCAGCAUGCAGAGUGUGAUUAAAAAAUGAGAUCUUUCCAGCGUUAUCCCUCCAGAUACAAGACGUUAUUAGAAAUAUAACAGGCAUCUAAAGUGGAUGUCUGCUGGACGUCUCAGAAAACUCCAUUUAAUGGCCUACUAAUAAUGUUUUGACAUAUUAUAAGGGUCUAAUACACAUCUGUUUGUAGCCAUUUAAUCACUUUAGAUUUCUAUUAGAGUUCUUUAACAAGUAUAAAAUAAACAUCCAUCUUCAGAACCCGUUAAAUCUUUCCGGGUGGAGCAUUAACUGUAUUUGAGAACUGGACUGAGUGAGUGUGAUGUCAUCCAUUAAAAAUGACUCCCGGCUCCAACCGAAUGAAGUCAAAACAAUCGCCACUUUUUUGCGGCACAGAUGCCAGCCGCCAUGUUGGAACCAGAAAGCAUCAUUAAGCAGUGAUUGGUCCGAGUCGCUCUGAGUCAGCGUUUCUAUGGCAACCACUGCCGCCAAUUAGGAAUGAGUUUGUUGGAAGGCCACACCCUACCACUUAAAAUCAGGGCUUCACGAAGUCCGUCAAAGGUUUUGAAUGAUGGACUUGGGGGCCAACAGGCUCCACCUACUUUCAUUGAGGCAUUUGAUUGGUCAAUUUAUAAUUUAAAUAACCUG